AUCAGUAUGUGUGAAUCUGUGUAUGUAGAUUGAGUGAGACAGACAGAGAGACAAGAGGGAAAUGCAAAAAAGGCACAUUGUGUGCUGAGCCUCAGCAAGUGAAUUUACAAACGUCCAACGCUGGCCCCUGAACAUAUAAUGUAACUCAUAACUCAGUGAAGAAAUAUCACGUUUUACAGUAAUAUACUGAAAGUAACGCUGUACAUGGAGACAAAAACAUAUGAAGUAUAUGUAAAGAGUGCCUGAAUUGUUAAAUGGGGAUCUCAAAGUUGUGACUUUCUCAAACGAGAAGGAAAAAAAGACAACUCUCAUUACCAGCACCCUUAAAAAGAUGUCUUUGCAGCAACAAACAA